rnacentral:rRNA from 1 species
AUUGAACGCUGGCGGCAUGCCUUACACAUGCAAGUCGAACGGUAACGGGCCUUCGGGUGCCGACGAGUGGCGAACGGGUGAGUAAUGCAUCGGAACGUACCUUUCAGUGGGGGAUAACGUAGCGAAAGUUACGCUAAUACCGCAUAUUCUGUGAGCAGGAAAGCAGGGGAUCGCAAGACCUUGCGCUGAUUGAGCGGCCGAUGUCAGAUUAGCUAGUUGGUGAGGUAAAGGCUCACCAAGGCGACGAUCUGUAGCGGGUCUGAGAGGAUGAUCCGCCACACUGGAACUGAGACACGGUCCAGACUCCUACGGGAGGCAGCAGUGGGGAAUUUUGGACAAGUGGGGGCAACCCUGAUCCAGCCAUGCCGCGUGAGUGAAGAAGGCCUUCGGGUUGUAAAGCUCUUUCGGCCGGGAACGAAAGUCGUAUGGGCGUAAUACCUCGUGCGGAGUGACGGUACCGGCAUAAGAAGACACCGGCUAACUACGUGCCAGCACG